rnacentral:rRNA from 1 species
UAGGGAAUAUUGGGCAAUGGCCGCGAGGCUGACCCAGCCAUGCCGCGUGCCGGACGAAGGCCUUCUGGGUCGUAAACGGCUUUUUUCCGGGAAGAACCGGUUCUGUGCGCAGGACUCUGACGGUACCGGGAGAAUAAGCACCGGCUAACUCCGUGCCAGCAGCCGCGGUAAUACGGAGGGUGCGAGCGUUGUCCGGAUUUAUUGGGUUUAAAGGGUGCGUAGGCGGCCGCGUAAGUCCGGGGUGAAAGCCCGUUGCUCAACAACGGAACUGCCCUGGAAACUGCGCGGCUUGAGUCCAGACGAGGUCGGCGGAAUGGGCGGUGUAGCGGUGAAAUGCAUAGAUACCGUCCAGAACCCCGAUUGCGAAGGCAGCUGACUAGGCUGGUACUGACGCUGAGGCACGAAAGCGUGGGGAGCGAACAGGAUUAGAUACCCUGGUAGUCCACGCCGUAAACGAUGGAUACUCGCUGCCGGCGAUAGAUAGUCGGUGGCUUAGCGAAAGCGUUAAGUAUCCCACCUGGGGAGUACGCCCGCAAGGGUGAAACUCAAAGGAAUUGACGG